rnacentral:lncRNA from 1 species
AGAGUGUGUGAAGCUUUCUACGAGCUGUAGUGUUUCCAUUGUUACAGAGGGGAAAUGUCUGAAGCAAAUGCAAGAGGGCUGAAUAGCUUGAUCUUCUUAUGCCAUGCACUGAAGUUGUUGUUGGCUUGCAAUAAGACUUUGUUGGUGACUAUAACUCUUAUUGGGCAUAAGUGCUCCCUUGAUUAAGUUGUCAAGCUUAAGGGUUUUUUAUUAUUUAUGAAUGCUAGGAGUUCACAUGUACAAGUUGUACCACUCAUCUUCUGGUAGGUGGAAUGAAUGGUGGGUUGCUUUCAUCACUUGGUUGGUGGUACGAAGGUGAGUUCCUUCAUCACCUUUCAUCACAUUUCAUCACCUGGUUGGUGGCACGAAGAUGAGUUCCUUCUUCACCUGGUUAGUGGCAUGAAUGGCAAGUUGCCAUAUGAUAUUAGAGUACGAGUUGUACAUUUCAUCGCCUAGUUGGUGGCAUGGAGGAGAGUACGGGUUGUACAUUUCAUCACCUUGUUGGUGGCAUGAAGAUGAGUUCCUUCUUCACCUAAUCGGUGGCAUGAGUAGCAAGUUGCCAAAUGAUAUUAGAGUACGGGUUGUACAUUUCAUCACUUGGUUGGUGGCAUGAAGUAGAGUAC